CGCCUGGGGAGUACGGCCGCAAGGUUAAAACUCAAAUGAAUUGACGGGGGCCCGCACAAGCGGUGGAGCAUGUGGUUUAAUUCGAUGCAACGCGAAGAACCUUACCUACUCUUGACAUCCAGAGAACUUAGCAGAGAUGCUUUGGUGCCUUCGGGAACUCUGAGACAGGUGCUGCAUGGCUGUCGUCAGCUCGUGUUGUGAAAUGUUGGGUUAAGUCCCGCAACGAGCGCAACCCUUAUCCUUUGUUGCCAGCGAUUCGGUCGGGAACUCAAAGGAGACUGCCGGUGAUAAACCGGAGGAAGGUGGGGAUGACGUCAAGUCAUCAUGGCCCUUACGAGUAGGGCUACACACGUGCUACAAUGGCGCAUACAAAGAGAAGCGACCUCGCGAGAGCAAGCGGACCUCAUAAAGUGCGUCGUAGUCCGGAUCGGAGUCUGCAACUCGACUCCGUGAAGUCGGAAUCGCUAGUAAUCGUGGAUCAGAAUGCCACGGUGAAUACGUUCCCGGGCCUUGUACACACCGCCCGUCACACCAUGGGAGUGGGUUGCAAAAGAAGUAGGUAGCUUAACCUUCGGGAGGGCGCUUACCACUUUGUGAUUCAUGACUGGGGUGAAGUCGUAACAAGGUAACCGUA
rnacentral:rRNA from 1 species